CUUCCGCCGCGCGGGGGUUGGCGGGAAGGAGGAGGAGGUGGCGGGGGAAGAUGGUGGCGACGCUGCGGAUCCAGAGCGACUGGAACCAGGCCCUGAGGAGGGAUGAGGGCGAGGCCUGGCUGAGCUGCCGGAGCCCCGGGAAGCCCACCCUGUACGGCCGCCUGACCCGCCGCGGGCUCAGCCCCCAAGGGCUCCCUGACAUCACUGCCUCGGAGGGCUUCGUGGUGGGAGAGGUCACCAAGAAGAGCAUUCUCAUUUCUUGUCCUUACGAAAAUGUGUCCACCAAGUUCCUGGCCCCUUACACAACUUUUUGCAGAAUUCAUCAGAAAAGUGUUACCUGCCUUGAUAUUUCUAGUGGUGGAGGGCUUGGGGUGUCCACCAGCACAGAUGGGACCAUGAAAAUCUGGCAAGCUGCAAAUGGAGAAGUAAGGAGGCUGUUGGAAGGCCAUGUGUAUGAUGUGAAUUGUUGCAGGUUUUUCCCUUCGGGCCUCGUGGUUCUGAGUGGGGGAAUGGAUGCCCAGCUAAAGGUCUGGUCAGCAGAAGAUGCCAGCUGUGUAGUAACAUUUAAAGGUCACAAAGGAGGUAUUUUGGACACUGCCAUUGUGGAUCGGGGAAGAAAUGUCCUUUCCUGCUCCAGGGAUGGCACAGCACGGCUCUGGGACUGUGGGACAUCCUCCUGUCUGGGUGUCCUUGCUGACUGUGGCUCUCCUGUCAAUGGCAUUGCUGUGGGCACUGCUGACAACUCCCUCAACCUGGGCACACCUGAAGAAGCUCCCAGUGAACGUGAGAUUGGGACAGAAGGGAAGAUCCUGCUGCUGGCUCGGGAGGACAAGAAGCUCCAAGGAGUGGGACUGCAGAGCAGGCAGCAGGUGUUCCUGUUCCUCGGGUCCGACGCGUUCAACUGCUGCACAUUCCUCUCAAGCACCUACAUCCUGGCUGGGACUCAGGAUGGGAACAUCUACCAGCUGGAUGUGAGAAACACAAACACUCCCAUCCAGACCAUCCACAGAUCAGGAGCUCCAGUGCUUUCCCUGCUCCCCUACCGAGAUGGAUUUGUUGCCAGCCAAGGUGAUGGAACCUGCUUCAUCAUUCAGCAAGACCUCGAUUAUGUCCUGGAUCUCACAGAAGCUGACUGUGACCCUGUGUACAAGGUGGCUUCUUGGGAGAAGGAGAUUUACACGUGCUGCCGAGACGGGAUCGUCAGGAGGUACCAACUGUCCGACCUCUGAGUGCUUGGGCCAGCCAAGGAGUGCAGACAAAGCGUCGAAACACCUUUCCCAAGCUCGUUUUCCCUGCACAGCACCCUUGAGGAGGCGUGGAGAGACAUUUCUGAGGCUGUUGAGGAGUUUCUGAGGCUGUUGAGGAGCUCCUGAGGCUGCCGAGGUCGCCGGGCUCUGCGCAGAGGGGGAUUUUGGUGACUGGUGGGGACCUCUCUUAACAACCCACACAACUCCGACCCCUUGGUAAUUUGGAGGAUCUCGUGUGGCAACGAUUGUUGUGUUGCUACCGGAGGCUGGCCUUGAGGUACCACCCGCUAAAAUGCAAGGAGCCUUGGGCGCCCAAGAGGUUCAGGCAGCUGGCAGAGGCCUAC